GAAAAUAGAAUUUCCAAUAGAAAGCAUAGCUGCAAUAGAAAUGAUCUCAUCUGAACACUUGAAUUUUUCAGAAGCAACCAUCAUCUUAGAAAGCAUAGGAUCAAGAGGAAACUCUGCCAUCCGUCUACCCAACUUAGUUAGUUCACCAAGUUUAUUAAGAGCACCAAGUGCAUAAAGCAGUUCCAAAGCUUUUAGCAAUGCUUCAGAUGGAGGCUGGUCCAUAAAAUCAAAAUUUACCAAGUCGUGAAUACCAAGACUCUUAAGUGUAAGCACGACAUUAGCAAGGUUUGUUCUUUGUAUUUCUGGUACUGUAUUGUCUUCCAUCUCAUUAUAAUAACUAUACGCAGUAUACAAACGAAAGCACAUUCCAG
rnacentral:misc_RNA from 1 species